GGCCCCGCGGGAGAGGCCGCGCCCCUCUCCGCACGCGCUCAACGGAGGCCCCGGGUGCGCAACCCCAGCCCGGCGGACACCCUGCGUGGCCCCGGGGAAUGGCGCGGAGCUGCCUCUCCCCCGGGAAAGUUGGAUCUGUGCGCCCAGACUUGGAAAAGGGAUUAGGACGCCGGCAGAUCUUGCCCUCACAGAGCAGAGGUGGGGGCCUAGGAAGGGGCACAUCGCCCAGAGGCGCGAAAUCCAAGAAGAAAAUGACACCCAUCAGCUAGCCUCACGCGGGAAGAAAGGGCGGGGUGGUUGGGGCGGGGGGACUGGCACCCUGCCCAUCCUCUCCCACUCCACAGUUCGGGCCCACAGUCCGGGAGUCGCAAGGAAUGUGAAUCACCAGGCAUAAUGUGAACCCCCAACAAACCCAAGGCCUCAGAAUGCUCCUCCCCUCUCCCUCCCCAUCCAGCAGAAACAUCCUCCCCUCCUUCCAACCUCUGCUCCAGCCAUGCCAACCCUUUAACCUUGUCCCAGAAUGUCUAAACCGUAUCUGCCUCUGUGCCUGUGCACAUGAGGUUGCCUUGGCCUGGGGUUUGCUCCACAGUCUUCUGCCAAACUCCUACUGCUUGGUGGCUGGAAGCCUUUGCACCCUGGCGCUCUCUCCCUCUCCUCCCAGGUCAGCAGUCACUGGCCUUCCUGUGCAUCCAGCCCGGCUUUGAACAGCCCUGGGCCCCAGUUCUUAUCUUUUUCCGAGUAAUUACAUAGUUGCAUGAUUGACUCCACCGGCUCUGGAUCAGAUGAGCGCCACUAAUGAGGGAUACAAGUUGUAAAACUAGGUUUUACGUGAACUCCAGUCAUCACAAUUUAGGUGCGGCUAGCGAUUUUACAGAUGAGGAGUUAGUAACUGACCCAAAUCCAGUGCUUCCGGGAUGCCGUUUUCCUUUUUUGUUUCUUAGCAGGGAUGUCAGAUGUUUGCAGAACAGAUCGUGUAAAAGUCAGUAUCCUAAGAGAUUAAAUUGUAAAGCAGGACAAGAUAGUUAAUGGAGUGUGUGUGUGUGCGUAUGUCUUUUCGAAAUUGAGAGGGAGGUAGAAGAAUUAGCCAAACCCCAGGAUUCACUCUGAGGUAGACCCACACAUCUUAGUUAGAUCCCAUUUAUUAAGCUGUAAUUAUUCACAGCAUUGCUGAAGACAUACACAAGACCCCUCCCAUCUCCCUGCGACUGACUGGUUCCAAGUAUGCUAUUAUACGUGUUAUUAUCACUGUGACUCAAUUAGGAGUGCUGCCGCAGGCCUUGAGGUUACCACAGUCAAACUGCAGGUGCAGGCGGUGAGUAACAAUGAUUAUAAUGCCUGCAUCUGGAUCAUGCUUUUUGCUUUUCAGAAUGCUUUCAAAUGUGUCUCCUCAUUAAAUCUCUGCAAACAUCCUCCAGGUAGUUAGGAAAAGUUUAAUGAGUUUCGCCUGACAAGGGAAACCAAGGCACAAAGCGGGCAGGUGAUUUGCACAAGGAGAGAGAUGGCUCCCCCAGGCUGCUCCGAGGGUGGAGCAGGCCGCUGUAACUCCAUGUCCUGCAGGAAGAGAUGGCUGAGUAUAGUUGGGAGCUCAGGCUCUAGUGACAAAGUGCCCAAUUUGCAACUUUCAGCUGAUUACUCAUACUUGGUUUCCUUUUCUGUUAAAUAGAUCUAAUAAUAGGAGCUUAUCUUGUAUGGUUUUGUGCCUGGUAUUUGAGCACCCAGCUCAGGUGAGCUGUUAUGUUAUGGUUCUGGGAAUGGUAUGACUGCUGCAGUUUCUGGCACACAGCUAUUCAGUCUUUCGUCAAAAAUUCCUGCGUAUCUACUAUGUGCCAGCCUCUGGGAAUACGAGGACGAAUGAGGCACAGACUACUACCUCCAAGAAGGUCGGGGUGUAAUAAUUCUGUGUCAGGGCACCAUGGUGCACAGAGACGAACUGUCCCUCCUGCUGCUGGUGCAGUGCAGAGCACCAGUUCAGAGCAGGGGAGAUAUUCACUUUCCUGGUCAAGCUUUGCUACUUAUUUAGCUGAGUGAAUCUUACAAUGUAAGACUGACUUACACAUACAGUGUACACAUACAGUGUAAUCUUACACUGAAUGUGACCUCUUACAACAUUGGUUUUUCUCAUGUUAGAUGGGGAUAGUAACAAUUUUUCAUGGGUGAAAACACAUGUGAUAAACAUAUUUUAUGAAAUGCAAAAUACUGUGCAGAUAGUUUUAUUAUUAUCAACGUGAUUGUUAUUAUCUUGGGCUUUACAGGGCUUGCUGCUUUUCAGAAUACUCUCCCAUUCCAUUGCUUUUCUUAGACAGAGUCUCGCGCUAUCACCCAGGCUGGAGUGCAGUGCUGCAAACUUGACUCACUGCAACCUCCACCUCCCCGAUUCAAGCAAUUCUCGUGCCUCAGCCACUUGAAUACCUGGGACUACAGACAUGCACCACCACGCUCAGCUAAUUUUUUGUAUUUUUAGUAGAGACAGGGUUUCACCAUGUUGGCCAGCCUGGUCUCGAAUUCCUGACCUCAAGAGAUCCGACCGCUUGGCCUCCCAAAGUGCUGGAAUUACAGGUGUGAGCCACCAUGCCCGGCCAUCCAUUACUUUUCUUAAGCCUGACAUAAACAUUACAUCAAAAACAGAACCCUAUUUUUUAUUUGAUGCCAGUCUUUUUCCUCUCCCAAGUAGUCCAUAUGGAAGAAAAACAGAAGUUGAGUAAGCAAUACGAAGGGAUGGGGCAGUUUGCAACUAGGAAGUCCACAGUGCCUUAGUCCUCAGCAUUACCUGCAGCUACAGAAGGGGGUGGACAUGAAAACCUAUCUGGAAAAAAAAUCUGGCAAAGGAUUGGGGGAAAAGCCCCUUUGUCAUCUCUGGAAUUGAACACAGGAAACCCCGCCCUGAGACCUUCCUUUCAGAAGCAGCCCAGAGAGAGAACCACAAGAAGGGCACUAAAAUUAUGCUGUUCGGAAGUUCUGACUCACUUGGCAGUGGGGGCUGUUUGUGCAACAUACCAAAAAGCGAAGUUUUUACCACUCUUUCCCUGUGUCUGUUCCCUGCAGCCAGCAUCUCCACCACCACUCAUGGGGAAGCAGGAAUCAAUUUAAUAAGCCUGGGGAAAUUAUCUGGGUCUGUUUCACAUUUGCUGUUGGUUAGCCAGCCUCAACAGCAAUCUGCACAAUCCUCAUUUUGUAAGCAUGAUGUUUUCAGUUUGCGUGUGUGUGUUCAGUCUCCACAGAUAGAUUACAGCAAAAGCUGCAAUGGCUUUUCUGGCUAAUAAAGCACCUCGUGGGUAAACUGAGGCAAGAGAGUAGGAAGGAGGGACAUUGCCCACGGUCCCAGGAUAGGAAUUGCUGUUCAGAACAUUUACAUUCCCAUCUCUCCGUCUCUAGCCUGGCUUCCCACUUAGUGGUGAGGUACAUAAGUGCUUUCAGCUUAGCACGGAUGAAAAGCUCACAUUAAGGGUGCCCACUUCUGGGGUGCCCCAUCGGAGAGGUCUUGGUUUGAGCCUGGAGAGCUGGUUCUCAUCCCAGUUCUGCUCUAAACUUUUCCUUCUUCUUUGUUUUUUCUUUGCCAGUUCUCCAAGUGUUAGCCUGUCCUUCCCUACUCGGGUGCUACAUGUGCUUCUAGGGUGAGCACAUCCAGCACCCUGGUUUCUUCACUUCUCCAUGGGCAGCUGCCACCCAUCAACGGAGCAGGGGCACCCCUCUGGGUGGCAAUGAGUCAUCUCAGUACCAAGCAGGGUAACUGCAGUAACUCAGAAUAUUCCUCUAUGUACAUUUAAUUGUGCUGCAUUUAUAAAAUACAAUUGUGUA